rnacentral:lncRNA from 1 species
CACCAUUGAAAGUUGUCCUCUUUUCUUUCUCUCUCUUUCUCUUACUUUCACCAAAUUCUCUUUCAUUGUGCUGGCUGAAAAUUGAGUUAGAGAGCUCACUGGAGCCAAGGUGAGGCCAUGGUCUUCCUCUCUUUUGCUUCUUCAUCUCUCCACGGCCCUAAACCACCCCUCGUUAGCUAGUAUUUCACUAAAAUUUGACCA